AUGGAGGGUGCCGCGCAGGCCCUCGUGAGCAACGUUGGGCAGCUGGUGGGGGAGGAGUUCCGGCAGCUCCGCGGAGUGGGCGGCGAGGUCGCUCGUCUGAGGGACGAGCUGGCCACCAUGAACGCCCUCCUCCGCAUGCAGUCUGAAGCAGAGGAGGGUGCCGUGGACCACUUCGUCCGGGAGUGGAUGAAGCAGCUGCGGGAGGUCGCCUACGACGCCGAGGACUGCGUCGACCUCUACUUAUUCCGCGUCCGGUGCCGAUCGGGCGACCGCUAUUUCGUCUGGUGCAAGCACCUGCUUGAGACGCUCAUGUCUCGGCGCCGCCUCGCCGGUGACAUCAGGGCCCUCCGUGCCCAUGCCGCCGCCAUCAACGAGCAGCACGCUCGUUACGGCGUCAACCUCGAGCCACUGCGCCGCCCUCCUUCUGUAUCCUUGCGGGCGGUGGCCGUGUCCGCGCGUGCGCUCCGCCCUGCCGACGACCCGUGUCAGUUCGUCGGCAUCACGGAGAAGGCUACCCCCCUGGCCAAUAAGGUGAAGGACAACGUGGAGGGUGACAUGAAGCUCAAGGUUUUCUCCAUCGUGGGCUUCGGGGGCCUCGGCAAGACUACGCUGGCCAUGGAGGUGUGCCGGCAGCUGGAGGCAGAUUUCCAACGUCAAGCGCAAGUGUCCGUGUCCCAGGCGUUCGACGGCAGGAAGGGCCUCAAGGGACUUCUCAUACGCGUGCUGCAGCAGAUCGUCAAGCCCAAGUCAGAUAAUGACCAAGGCAUCACAGAAGAGGAUUCUAUCAAAGGCAUCGAGAGCAUGGACGAGGAGAAACUGUCUGACAAGCUAAAGGAGCUCCUCGAAAACAAGAGGUACCUCAUUGUGAUUGAUGACGUAUGGACCAUUGCAGCCUGGGAUGCAAUCUUUUCCAAGUUACCGGACAACAAGUGCAGCAGCAGAAUCAUUGUUACCACUCGGAUAGAUAAUGUUGCAAAGGCAUGCAGUGAUGCUAGUGGUGACAUCUAUAAUAUACAAGCUCUGAAUCCAUCAGACUCCAAGAAGCUGUUCCUAAGAAGAGCAUUUAGCUCAGUGAGUGACUCUUGCCCCAAGGACUUGGAAGAGGUUAUGGAGAAAGUCUUAAAAAAAUGUGGUGGACUGCCAUUGGCAAUUAUAAGUGUUGCCAGCCUUUUGGCAAGCUACAGCUCACCUGAAAGCAAACAUAUGUGGGAAAUAGUUUUCAAAUCAAUUGGUUCACAGAUGGACAGCCACCCUACCCUUGAGGGGAUGAGACAAAUAGUUACAUUGAGCUAUGACCACCUGCCUCAUCAUCUUAAGGGUUGCAUGAUGUAUCUUAGCAUUUUCCCAGAGGAUUAUGUGAUUGUCAAGGAUCGAUUGUUGAUGAGAUGGAUUGCUGAAGGAUUGGUUGCUGAGAAGCGGGGGUUGACAAUGAUGGAGGUAGCAGAAUCAUACUUCAAUGAGCUGGUGAGUAGAAGCAUGAUUGAUCGGGACUCUGAUGUAGUCACCUACUAUGAUGGGAGGGUGGAGACGUGUCGAGUGCAUGACAUGACACUCGAGGUCAUGGUUUCGAAAUCCCUCGAGGCUAACUUUGUUAGCCUCAUAGGUGGGCAGUACGAGGGGAUGUCAUACGAUAGGAUUCGUCGCCUCUCAAUUCAUGGAGGUGGGGAGAUUGCCAAAGAAUCUCCAUCCCAGAAGAAGACAGCGAGGCAUGGUCGUAAGGAUGGCAUCGAGGGGAUGAAUGUGCAGCAUGCCCGAUCAUUGAGCCUGUUUGAGUUUGAAGGAGACAAACUGCUUGGUCGGCUACGUGAGUUCACCCUGCUUAGGGUGCUUGACCUGGAAGAUUGCAAGGGCCUAGAAAACAAACAUAUGCGCCACAUCUGCCGGAUGUACCUUCUAAGGUUCUUGAGCUUGAAGGGUACAAAUAUCAGUGAGAUGCCUUCGGAAGUUGGUAAACUGGAGCAUUUGCAGACCCUUGAUGCACGCAACACGUGGCUUAAAGAUCUACCGGAGAGUUUGACAGAUCUAGAGCAACUCGAGAGCCUGCAGUUCUCCAAUGGGUGGACACUGCCCGAGGGAGUGAAGAAAAUGAAGUCACUGCGCAAGGCGAACAAAGUGGUUAUCAGAUCAAACCUUGUAGUUGCUCGGGAGGUCGGUGAGCUGGAAAAAUUGCAAGACUUGCGUAUCUAUGUCGCCAGUGACUCUGACAAUCAUCAGCAUGUCCAUCUACAGCUUAUCCAUUCAAUAGGCAAGCUAUACUCCCUCCGAUGCUUGAACAUUGGGGACACGGGUUAUGACCGAAAGGUAAUGAACUUUCUACAUAAGCUCCCCUCGCCACCAAGGCUCCUUCGAUACCUUAGGAUCUGUGGUGGCCUUGUUGGCGGUGGAUUGCCUGCCUGGGUUGGGCUACUCACUAAUCUUGUUGAGUUUGUCAUAGCGUGGGCAUACCUUGAGGGUGACCAACUAUUAGACACACUGUGUAAGUUGCCCAACCUGAAGAGGCUCACCCUGGAGACACACUUCUACGCAGAGAAAAGGCUGGUUGUACGCGAGACCCAGAUCUUUCCAGUGCUCACGGAUCUGAAACUGACAAAUUCUCCUGGAGUUGAGGUUUACGAAUUUGAGAAAGGAUGCAUGCCAAAGGUUGAGGUGUUUGAGCUGGAUUUUGCUAACAUUGAGAAGAAAAUUGUUGGCAUCGAGCACUUGACCAACCUAAAAGAGGUGCAGUUCUUUGGUCGGAAAGACAACAAAGCCCUGAAACUUGCAUUGGAGGAGCUAAAGAAUGAGAAUCGGAGGCGCGGCCAGUCCAAUCAGUUGACCGUCAAAGUGAGAUACGAGUGA
rnacentral:rRNA from 1 species